GUGAAAUUACUGGGCAAAUUACACUUGACAUCUUAUGUGUAGGUAGUAGUGUCUACUUCAUUGAUUAUAUUAGAAAUGAUGUCCAAAAUAAUUCUAAAGGAAUUAAUUUAAAAAACAAAAAUGCCAUUUUUUGUCUCAAGGUGACGAGCGCAGUUGGUGUGCCGCUCAGAAUAUUUGGUUUUUUCAAUAACCUUGAGCGGCUCUGCAUUGUUAUGGGUAGGGCGUAUUAAUUACCAUUAGCUGAACGUCUCGCUCCUCUCGUCCCAUAUUUUCAUUUGAAAAAAUAUUAAUAUUUACACCGUAAAAUUAACACAGUUAUAUUAGAAGCUGACAAAAUAUACCCAUAAUUAUUGUGAUGCAAUUGGUUUGUAACAUUAAUGUUGCGAUAAAUUAAAAUAUUCAAUAAUCUUACUAAAGAAAAAAUUGCCAGGAAAUGGACUAAAUUGUAUUCAUCAUUUUGAUUGCCAUGACCAAGCCAAGGGUUUAUAUAGGUUUCAUGUAAAUGUAGAAAAUAAAGUUAAAAAUUAUUUUAAUAUCAGUAAAAUAUCAAUCAAUCCUAAUAAUUAAGAAGAAGGAAUUGAUGAGUUUUAUAUUAUCCCUUAUUGUAGCUAAGCCAUGUAAGUACACGUUUUCAGAAAGCAUUGAAUAAUAAAAUAUUAACUGAAUGUUAUGACUGCCCUUUUUAUCUGCCUAUAGAUAGGUAAAAUGAGAUAAGCCAACGGUUUAUCGGUAAAUGUAUUUUGCAGAAUCAGUCACUCAUCGACAAUGGAGCAAUAGUUGCACAAUUAAUAUUUGUUUUAGUAACGAAACACGGGACCUAUCUUCUGAUACUGUUCAUGUUAAAGUGGUGAAGCGUAAAAUAUGGAUAUUAGGACCCCACCACCACCGUAUUCAGAGCAACCGACCGAUCAACAUAGAAUGAUAAUAGAGGAACCAAAACGUUUUCAGUCCACAAUAACUUCAAAUCCUACUGUGAUUGUGAUGCAAAGCUUGGGAACUCAACCCAGCACCUGUUUCUGUGCAACGUGUAACCAAAAUGUUACAACAAGAAUUGAAGCAGUGACGUCAUGCAGAACACACACUUUUGCUGCAUUUCUGUGUCUUUUUAUUUGCUGGCCUUGCGCCUGGAUACCGUACUUCAUUGAUACGUGCAAGAAGAUCGAACAUUACUGUCCUUACUGUAACACAUAUUUAGGUUCUAGCGUGUAAUAAACUUUAAAUAUUAACAUUUA